AGUGAACGCUGGCGGUAGGCCUAACACAUGCAAGUCGAACGGCAGCACAGUAAGAGCUUGCUCUUACGGGUGGCGAGUGGCGGACGGGUGAGGAAUACAUCGGAAUCUACUUUUUCGUGGGGGAUAACGUAGGGAAACUUACGCUAAUACCGCAUACGACCUACGGGUGAAAGCAGGGGAUCUUCGGACCUUGCGUGAUUGAAUGAGCCGAUGUCGGAUUAGCUAGUUGGCGGGGUAAAGGCCCACCAAGGCGACGAUCCGUAGCUGGUCUGAGAGGAUGAUCGGCCACACUGGAACUGAGACACGGUCCAGACUCAUACGGGAGGCAGCAGUGGGGAAUAUUGGACAAUGGGCGCAAGCCUGAUCCAGCCAUACCGCGUGGGUGAUGAAGGUCUUCGGGUUGUAAAGCCCUUUUGUUGGGAAAGAAAAGCAGCAGGUUAAUACCCCGCUGUUCUGACGGUACCCAAAGAAUAAGCACCGGCUAACUUCGUG
rnacentral:rRNA from 1 species